CGUUGUGCAGAACUAAUUUUACCAUUGUCAGAUGCAGAAGAGCCCAGCUAUAUAAAAAUAAUAGUUGUGUUAAAGCAACAGUAAUAUGGUUAUUGGCAAAACAGUUUUCUCUCCUUCUACCAACUAUGCAGAUCAGAAAAACAACUCAGGGAGGUCACUGAAUUUUUUGAGUUUAACAGACACACAUGGCAAGAUACGUACACAUCAACUAUCAGAAUUAAGGCCAUCUCUGAGGGCUUCCCCCUGUAACAGCAAGUAACUCUUCCUCUAAAAAUAUGCAUCAGGUGCAAGAGUGGAACUCUGCAAGAUUGCUAAUUAAGUCCAAGCUCCCUGAAACACAUUCACAAGCUCUACAAUGAAAUCAUAGUGAUCACAGAAAACUUGAGUUUGGUAUUCACACCAGAAGUUUCCCAGCUGACUCUCAUAGAUAGUGAAAAUAUAAAUAUUGUAGAGUAUAAGGAUUAAGAGAGAGACGAAGGGUGGAACACACACAAAAAAAAAAACCUAUCAUUUUUUUCCUCUACUUUUAUAAUGCUAAGUUAAUUUGCUUAAUUCCCUUUUUUCUUGCAACAUUUUCUCUGUAAGCAGUCCAUUUAAUUUGCAUCUCAUUCAGAAACCUAAGGAUCAUACUUCACUGAGAUCUCUGAAACAUCAUUCUAGAGCUGGCACUGUGGUAGGUCAUGGUUUUUGUGUCUUGAAGGUGAUAGUAGAGUACUUCUUGUUUGUUCCCCACCCACCCACAAAAGCCAGACAGCUUUGACUUCCUAAUCCCAUUUUUUUUCCAGGCAAGUAAAUAGGGAAAUGUUUGUUACUGCAAACAAAAUUUGUUGUGCCUGUGAUCUCACUGCUACAGAUGUGCCCCCGUCCACUGAACUACAAAUACGCAACCUAAACUGUGGACUGUUCAGAGCACCUGUAUUUUCUUUAAACCUGAAGAAAAGAAGCCACUACUACCAUUCAUCUACACAGCAAACUUUUACACACCUUCAUUACCAUCCUCUGAAACAUCAGAAACUGUAGCAGCUUGUAGGAUAAGGAAAACAGAAUAUAUCUCCGAUGAAAACAAGGCUUAUAUAUAAAAGAAAUCUCCCCUACUGGGUUACUAAAAGGUCUAAAAUGCAGAUCGUUAGUAUGACCUUUAGAAAGCAAAAUACCUGGAAU